rfam:Triticum aestivum genome assembly, contig: Triticum_aestivum_CS42_TGACv1_scaffold_196244_3AL
GUUCUACUCCCUCCGUCCGAAAAAGAUUGUCCCUCAAAUGGAUGUAUCUAGCACCAAGUUAGUGCUAGAUACAUCCAUUUGGGAGACAAGCUUGGGGCAAGCUUUUUCGGACGGAGGGAAUACAAU